CCAGAUUGACACCCUCACCACAGCUCACAACACUCUAAGCCACCACCUUGCAGCCAUGGAGGAUAGAAGAAGGUGGAAACACCUGAAAAUCAGGGGUCUCACAGACAAUAUCACCCAGGCAGAAUUACCACACUGCAUGCGCAGGCUCUUCACAGCCCUUCUCUCUCCCAAACAAGCCAGGGGCAUUACACUGGAUGGGAUGUUUCGGCUCCCCAGGCCUCCCUCAGCCACUGCCUCCAACACCAGCGACAUACUGGUCAAAUUUCAAAAUGGCCAGGACAAGGCAGCCGUUAUGAGUGCAGUGCGAGGCAAACCCCCGUUCCGGUUCGAGGAGAUGGAAAUCACCUUCUAUUCUGAUCUCUCCCGCCAGACCCUACAGUGGCGAAAAACACUACGUCCCCUCACAUCCAUAUUAUCGUCGAAGGGACUCAAAUACCGCUGGGGCCCAACACGAGCGCUACUCAUCCAGCAUCAGAACACAGAGAUCAGGGUGACUGAGGCAUCGGAGAUCGAGGCAACUCUGACCACACUGGGUUUGAACCGCACUGCAAUGGCUGCACCGACAGCUUGGGACCCGGCUAACGCUAUCCCGUUCAUCCCGGCGAGUAGGAGUUUACCCAGCCGAGCAAAUACUUGACUCUGGAGACUGCCUUCUCUGUUUAUUUUUGUUUAUUUUAGUUUAUUUUAGUUUAAAUCUUGUUUCCUCACCUAUUACGACAUACGGGCCUCAUGGGGCCAGCAUCUUACAGAUGCACAGUUAGCACAGCAUAAGUUUUUUAGUUGUUAUUGUAUUUUCCUUUACUCAGACAACACUUAAAUGCUACGCAUCUACAUAUACAACGCAAGCAGGGAAGGACCGUAACCAUCUUUCCCACCAGACAAGCCUAAAUGAGCCGCGACCGGGAUUAACCCGGGAACACAGGCUCCCUAAAGACCACCAACCCCCCC